rnacentral:rRNA from 1 species
AACGCGAAGAACCUUACCUGGGUUUGACAUGCCUGGAUUAUCCCUGUGAAAGCAGGGUAGGCCCUUCGGGGUACAACUGGCACAGGUGCUGCAUGGCUGUCGUCAGCUCGUGUCGUGAGAUGUCGGGUUAAGUCCCUUAACGAGCGAAACCUUUGCCCUUAGUUACCAUCGGGUUAUGCCGGGGACUCUAAGGGGACUGCCGGUGUCAAACCGGAGGAAGGUGGAGAUGACGUCAAGUCCUCAUGGCCUUUAUGCCCAGGGCUACACACGUGCUACAAUGGGGUGCAUAAAGCGAACCGAGAGCGCAAGCUGGUGGAAAUCGCAAAAAUCACCCCCCAGUUCAGAUUGGAGGCUGCAACUCGCCUCCAUGAAGAUGGAAUCGCUAGUAAUCGCGGAUCAGCUACGCCGCGGUGAAUGUGUUCCCGGGCCUUGUACACACCGCUCGUC